rnacentral:rRNA from 1 species
CACGUAGGGCGCGAGCGUUGUCCGGAAUUAUUGGGCGUAAAGAGCUCGUAGGCGGCCUGUUGCGUCCGCUGUGAAAGCCCGGGGCUUAACCCCGGGUCGGCAGUGGAUACGGGCAGGCUAGAGGUAGGUAGGGGAGAAUGGAAUUCCCGGUGUAGCGGUGAAAUGCGCAGAUAUCGGGAGGAACAUCCGAGGCGAAAGCGGCUGCUGGAUCGCAACUGACGCUGAGGGACGAAAGCUAGGGGAGCAAACAGG